CGAGCGAUACACGACGUUAUCGUAUUAAUAGCCAACGCCAUACGGCCGCUCGUAUCCAACAUUUUUCUAUUCGAUCGCGUAGGGUCGAGAAAGAUCAACGAGAGGAAGGACGAACAAGGGGGGAGAAGAAGUGGAAGAAGCAGGUGACGGCCCGAGCAACAAGUGCGCGUACGAACGAAAGAUUUAUAAAUAACGCCGGGCCGUUGUGUGCGACAAACGCGUCUAUCUGCGUCUAACGGUACGAUUCAUUAUCGCUUUAUUGCCGUGCAAGCGAUAUUACGCACGCACGAUAUCUUUGUAUAGGAACUCGUGAGCGAGUUGGUCAAGAUUAAUCGCGGUAUAAAUUGAAACUGGAUCCUGUCAAGGCGCUUUGCGUUUACGACGAUGACGACCACGCGCGUGAUUACGUAAGCCACGAUUAACGUUCUCUUCGACGCGAUACCUACCAUCGUGAAGAGGUUUCGACGAACUGUUGACGAGAUUCAUGAACGCGUUAAGCCCGUCCUCCUCGUUAAUAUUUUCGAGCGUUGGCGUCGUUAUCAUUUCCAGAGGUGCUCCUUCGAGAGGCCUGUAUAUAGGCGCCGACUCGAGAGAAUUAUUUAUCUGCACGGCCGGAGGUGGACUCGGCGUCAAGAGUGGACAGUCCGAAGCUUCCUCGUCCUGCUCCUCUUACGGAGUUCGCACAAUGCUUAAGUAUCUAACGAAAGAAGAAACGUGACUAAGGGCGAAUUAGAGCGAAAGUCGACGAUAACUCGCCGUCUACGUCGAACGAACACACACCUGUUGGUCCUGACUUAUAAAGAGCUGUUGCGAGCUGG